UACGUAGGGUGCAAGCGUUAAUCGGAAUUACUGGGCGUAAAGCGUGCGCAGGCGGUUGUGCAAGACAGAUGUGAAAUCCCCGGGCUUAACCUGGGAAUUGCAUUUGUGACUGCACGGCUAGAGUGUGUCAGAGGGGGGUAGAAUUCCACGUGUAGCAGUGAAAUGCGUAGAUAUGUGGAGGAAUACCGAUGGCGAAGGCAGCCCCCUGGGAUAACACUGACGCUCGUGCACGAAAGCGUGGGGAGCAAACAGG
rnacentral:rRNA from 1 species